rnacentral:tRNA from 1 species
AAGUUAUAUUGGAUAAUAUAUAGUUUUGAAAACUAUAAAAGAGUGUUCGAUUCACUUG